GGAUCCUAGCCUGGAUCCUAGCCUGGAUCCUAGCCUGGAUCCUAGCCUGGAUCACAACCUGAUUCCUAGCCUGGAUUCUAGCCUGACUCCUAGCCUGGAUCCUAACUUGAGUCCUAGCCUGGAUCCUAGCCUGGAUCCUAACCUGACUCCUAGCCUGGAUCCUUGCCUGGAUCCUAGCCUGGAUCCUAACCUGACUCCUAGCCUGGAUUCUAACCUGAUUCCUAGCCUGACUCCUAGCCUGGAUCCUAGCCUGGAUCCUAACUUGACUCCUAGCCUGGAUCCUAACCUGACUCCUAGCCUGGAUCCUAGCCUGGAUCCUAACUUGACUCCUAGCCUGGAUCUUAGCCUGGCUCCUAGCCUGGAUCCUAACUUGACUCCUAGCCUGGAUCCUAGCCUGGAUCCUAACCUGCCUCCUAGCCUGACUCCUAGCCUGGAUCCUAGCCUGGAUCCUAGCCUGAUUCCUAACCUGGAUCCUAACCUGGCUCCUAGCCUGACUCCUAGUCUGGUUCCUGGGGUUGGGGACACAGCUGAGGAAUGCCUGGGUGACUCACCGGCAGGGGGACAGAAUGAGAGGAAGCCGGCACACUCUGAUGAGGUCAUCCAGGAGGAGAUAGAUGACGUCAGCUCUGCUGAAUCUGUGGACCCAUCCCAGUGUUGAGAGUUUGGACACACCUGUCAGUACCUCCAGUGACUCACCCCCCCAAUACCCCCAGCCCUUCCAGACAGUAGUAAGACUGUGCCUGGUCUACAGCACAGCCUCACCACCCCCCUGAAGCUGGUAGUUGGUUCAGUCCAGUGUGAGAGUCCCACCUCCCCUGUGGGUGUGAAGAGUGGUAUCUCCCAGGGCCUAGAGGCCUCACACUGGCAGGGAAGCGUGGACGAGGUGCGUGAGAGAACGCUGGAGAGAGAAGAGACGGCUUCUGUGAUGACAACGCCACAGAACAGAACGCUCGGAGACCCAGAGCAGCAGGAGACCAGCUCAGGAGCAGUGGAUGCACCAGCGAUCCACAGAGAAAAGGAAACCUUCUACCCGUUCCUUCCCGGCUCAGACACCCCGGUCCAGAUCCCCACCACCCCCGAGGAGAGCACAG